AUGUGACUGUGGAUCGAGCCCAUGUGAAGCCUCUUCGAUGAGUCGAGUUGUUUGGGAAUGCAGCUCAAAAUGGGUGGUAAAUUUCAUCUAAAGCUAAAUACUGGCUGGAGACCGAUAGCGCACAAGUAGAGUGAUCGAAAGAUGAAAAGCACUUUGGAAAGAGAGUCAAAAAGUACGUGAAAUUGUUGAAAGGGAAGCGCUUGCAACCAGACCUGUCCGUAGGUGAUCAGCCGCUGUUCUCAGUGGUGCACUCGCUCUGCGAUCAGGCCAGCAUCGGUUCGGGCGGUCGGAUAAAGGCCCUGGGAAUGUAGCUUCCUUCGGGGAGUCUUAUAGCCCUCGGUGCAAUGCGGCCAGCCGGGACCGAGGACCGCGCUUCGGCUAGGAUGCUGGCGUAAUGGUUGUAAGCGACCCGUCUUGAAACACGGACCAAGGAGUCUAACAUCUAUGCGAGUGUUUGGGUGUUAAACCCAUGCGCGGAAUGAAAGUGAACGGAGGUGAGACCCCUUAAGGGCGCAUCAUCGACCGAUCCAGAUGUCUUCGGAUGGAUUUGAGUAUGAGCAUAGCUGUUGGGACCCGAAAGAUGGUGAACUAUGCCUGAAUAGGGUGAAGCCAGAGGAAACUCUGGUGGAGGCUCGCAGCGGUUCUGACGUGCAAAUCGAUCGUCAAAUUUGGGUAUAGGGGCGAAAGACUAAUCGAACCAUCUAG
rnacentral:rRNA from 1 species